AUUGAACGCUGGCGGCAUGCCUUACACAUGCAAGUCGAACGGCAGCGCGGGGGCAACCCUGGCGGCGAGUGGCGAACGGGUGAGUAAUAUAUCGGAACGUACCCAAGAGUGGGGGAUAACGUAGCGAAAGUUACGCUAAUACCGCAUACGAUCUAAGGAUGAAAGCAGGGGACCGCAAGGCCUUGUGCUCCUGGAGCGGCCGAUAUCUGAUUAGCUAGUUGGUGGGGUAAAGGCCUACCAAGGCAUCGAUCAGUAGCUGGUCUGAGAGGACGACCAGCCACACUGGGACUGAGACACGGCCCAGACUCCUACGGGAGGCAGCAGUGGGGAAUUUUGGACAAUGGGGGCAACCCUGAUCCAGCAAUGCCGCGUGAGUGAAGAAGGCCUCGGGUUGGUAAGGCGUCUUUUGUUCUAGGGAGAAACGGUUGUGGCGUAAUAUCCAUGGCUAAU
rnacentral:rRNA from 1 species